rnacentral:rRNA from 1 species
AUUGAACGCUGGCGGCAGGCCUAACACAUGCAAGUCGAACGAGUGGCGGACGGGUGAGUAAUGGCUGGGAAACUGCCUGAUGGAGGGGGAUAACGACUGGAAACGGUAGCUAAUACCGCAUACCAUCGGAUGUGCCCAGAUGGGAUGAGCUAGUAGGUGGGGUAAAGGCUCACCUGGGCGACGAUCCCUAGCUGGUCUGAGAGGAUGACCAGCCACACUGGAUCUGAGACCCGGUCCAGCCUCCUACGGGAGGCAGAAGAGGGAAAUAUUGCACAAUGGGCGCAAGCCUAAUGCAGCCAUGCCGCGGAUAUGAAGAAGGCCUUCGGGUUGUAAAGUACUUUCAGCGGGGAGGCGUUACCCGCAGAAGAAGCACCGGCUAACUCCGUGCCAGCAGCCGCGGUAAUUC